GUGGGCGUAGCUCAACGGUCAGAGCGUCAGCUUGUGGAGCUGAAAGUUGCGGGUUCAAUUCCCGUCGCCCACCCA
rnacentral:tRNA from 2 species